UGACUACAUAAGUUUAAUGCUGAUGUCUGGAAGACUGAACAUACAUAACCAAUACAUGAGUCAUUGUUAUUAGUGUUUACCUCAACAAUCUAUAUAAACACUUGUAAUGCACAACCUAACCAGUCACAGCUUGACCAUUCAAUAAACAAUAUUAACUGACCAUUCAAUAAAGAAACAAAUUUAAAACAUUUUCUGUGAAGCUGUUAAACAGAAAAUCACAUCUGCACAAAAUCUAUUCCAGGAAUGACAAAAGUUACAUUUAAAUUAAAACAUUUUUUUUUUUUUAAAUUUUGGUAUGCCACAAAUCCAAAAUCAGAAUUUAUCAAUGAUAAAUUGAUUUUUUAAAUCUGCCUUGGAGAUUUCAUAAAAAGUUACAAGUUAGGAGCACGCUGAAAACACAUGUAUGUACAUUACAAUGAAAACGGACUAUAAAUAAAACACACAACCGAUUUUAAUACAAUUACCGAUGUUUUUCCCACAUAUACAUAAAGAUAAACAAUACAUGAAAUAAAUAAGUAGUAGUCCUAAACCAUAUAAAAAGACAUACAUGUACACUCCUUGCAUACAAACCGUCGCAAUAUGCGACAUCACAACAUCAUAAAAUGCAUCUUUUACAUGCAUUCUGAAUAAUCUAAUGUAACUUAUGUUGAUAUGUUCGGGAUUGGGUAAAAUCAAAAUGGUUAUAAAAAAUUCAGCAUAAUAAUUUGUUUUAUUAAUAAGGAAAUUACUGGAUGUUCAAGUAAGCCUCAUCAAAAAGAAAAUAUUAGCUAUUUUGAAAACCGCAAACAUCUAAAUAAUAGAGAUAUAAUUUGUGAAUUAUUACAAAUCCAAUUUAACGUUGACUGACUGUUCAUGCAUACUGUAAUUCCUGAUCCUCAGAUACACAAAACACCGUGUACAGCCCUUUUUCAGAUCUCUGAAUAAUGCUUAUAAUAAUAACAUACAAAAAUCUAUUCAUAUCACAGAUACACAAAACUUACACAGCAUGCACCAUUAUGAAUGCAGUCGGAAUAUGUGACCUACAUUUUGUAUCAAUGGAAACAUCCACAAAAAUAUUUUAAAAUGUUUUCCUUUAUAUAAACAAUAUACAAUAAAUUAACAGCUGCAUGUAAAUCUGAGAAGAAAAAAUAAUAACUUCCUUUUUUUAUUUAACAUAAAAAAGAUGACUAUUUUAAAAUAUCUUGUUAGGUAAAUCAAUAUUUAAAGUAAAGUUACAGAUCUACAAAACUGAAAUGUUCAAUAAUAUUUCACAGCUGAAACAUUUACACACAAAGGUAAAACAAAACAGCUGUCUCUGGUAUACCAUCAGUAUUUGACAACUCAAAGGUGGAAAUAUUCACAGCUGAAACAUUUACACACAAAGGUAAAACAAAACAGCUGUCUCUGGUAUACCAUCAGUAUGUGACAACUCAAAGGUGGAAAUAUUCACAGCUGAAACAUUUACACACAAAGGUAAAACAAAACAGCUGUCUCUGGUAUACCAUCAGUAUCUGACAACUCAAAGGUGGAAAUAUUCACAGCUGAAACAUUUACACACAAAGGUAAAACAAAACAGCUGUCUCUGGUAUACCAUCAGUAUCUGACAACUCAAAGGUGGAAAUAUUCACAGCUGAAACAUUUACACACAAAGGUAAAACAAAACAGCUGUCUCUGGUAUACCAUCAGUAUCUGACAACUCAAA